rnacentral:rRNA from 1 species
GCUAAUAAAAGUUAUUAAUAAAUUAUUCUUAAAUUAUUAAUUAAUUUUUUAGUUUUUAAUAAAAUUUAUUUUAAUUAAAAUAUUAUUAAUUUUAUAUUAAUUUAUUAAUAAAUAAAAAUUAAUUUAAAUUAUAUUUUAAGUAUAUUGAUAGAAAAAUUUAUUUAUUUAAAUUAUUUUUUAAAAAGAUUACCUUUUGUAUCAGGGUUAAUUAAAAUAAAUUAAUAUAUUUUAUUUUCUCGAAAAUAAUAGAUUUAAUUUUUUAUAAAAUUUUUUGUAAAAUUAAAAUUUUUAAUAAUUAAUUGGUAACUAAAUAUUUUUCGUUAUUAUUUAUAUCUAGUUAUUUUAUAAAUAAAUUUAAUUUAAUAAUUAAAUUAUUUAAGAAUUAAUUUAUUAAUUUUUAAUUUUUUUUUUAUUAAUAAUUUAAGGGAUAAACUUUAAAUUAAUUUUAAUAAAUUUAAUUUAUAUUGUUAAAUAUUUAAAAUUAAUAGUUUUUAAAGUUUUAUAGUGUUUAAUAAUUAUUUAUUUAUUAAUAAAAUUUAAAUAUGUUUUUAAUUAAUUAUAAAAUAAAUAAAUUUAAUAUUUUUAUUUUUGUUAUAAUGAUUAAAUUAGUAAAUUUUUAAUUAUUUAAUAAAAAAUAAUAAAUAUUUUUUUUAAUUAAUUAGGCAAUUAUAGUUAUUCAACUGUUUAUUAAAAACAUAGUUUAUUGAAUUUAAUAAUAAAUAUUUUCUGCUCAAUGAUUUAAUUAAAUAGCUGCAGUAUUUUGACUGUACAAAGGUAGCAUAAUCAUUUGGCUUUUUAUUAAGGUCUGGAAUGAAUGAAUUAAUGAAAUAACAACUGUUUUAAAUAAAUUAAAUUAAAUUUUAUUUUAAGUUAAAAUUCUUAAAUUUUUAAAAAAGACGAGAAGACCCUAUAGAAUUUAAUAAAAUUUAAUUUAAAUUUUAAUUUAUUAAAUUAAUCUAAUUGUUUUUUAUUUUGUUGGGGUUAUGUAAAAAUUUAAUAAAAUUUUUAAUUUUUUAAUCAUUAAUUUAUGAAUUUAAAAUCUUUAUUUUAAAAAUUAAAACAAAUUACCUUAGGGAUAACAGCGUAAUAUUUUUAGAGAGAUCAUAUUGAAAAAAAUGUUUGCGACCUCGAUGUUGAAUUAAGGUAAAUUUUUAAUGUAGAAAUUAAUUAUAUUAAGUCUGUUCGACUUUUAAAACCUUACAUGAUUUGAGUUUAAAUCGGUGUGAGCCAGAUUGGAUUCUAUCUUUUUAUAAUUAUUAUUUAUUUGUACGAAAGGACUUUAUAUAAUUAAUAAUUAAUUAUAAUUUAAAUAAAUUUAUUAUAUUACUUUGACAGAUUAGUGUAUUAAAUUUAGAAUUUAAAAAUAAAUAU